UACGUAGGGUGCAAGCGUUAUCCGGAAUUAUUGGGCGUAAAGAGCUCGUAGGCGGUUUGUCGCGUCUGCUGUGAAAACUGGGGGCUCAACCCCCAGCCUGCAGUGGGUACGGGCAGACUAGAGUGCGGUAGGGGAGAGUGGAAUUCCUGGUGUAGCGGUGGAAUGCGCAGAUAUCAGGAGGAACACCGAUGGCGAAGGCAGAUCUCUGGGCCGUAACUGACGCUGAGGAGCGAAAGCAUGGGGAGCGAACAGG
rnacentral:rRNA from 1 species